rnacentral:rRNA from 1 species
CCUACGGGUGGCUGCAGUGAGGAAUAUUGGUCAAUGGACGGAAGUCUGAACCAGCCAUGCCGCGUGCAGGAAGACGGCUCUAUGAGUUGUAAACUGCUUUUGUACAAGGGUAAACCUCAAUACGUGUAUUCAGCUGAAAGUACCGUACGAAUAAGGAUCGGCUAACUCCGUGCCAGCAGCCGCGGUAAUACGGAGGAUCCGAGCGUUAUCCGGAUUUAUUGGGUUUAAAGGGUGCGUAGGCGGUUUGAUAAGUUAGAGGUGAAAUGUCCGGGCUUAACCCCGGAACUGCCUCUAAUACUGUUGAACUAGAGAGUAGAUGCGGUAGGCGGAAUGUAUGGUGUAGCGGUGAAAUGCUUAGAGAUCAUACAGAACACCGAUUGCGAAGGCAGCUUACCAAUCUAUAUCUGACGUUGAGGCACGAAAGCGUGGGUAGCAAACAGGAUUAGAUACCCGGGUAGUC